CAUUACUGAGUACUAUACUCUCUACCCUUUGUGAACUAUUAUACCUGUUGCUUCGGCGGCGCCCGCUAGGGUGCCCGCCGGUCUCAUCAGAAUCUCUGUUUUCGAACCCGACGAUACUUCUGAGUGUUCUUAGCGAACUGUCAAAACUUUUAACAACGGAUCUCUUGGCUCCAGCAUCGAUGAAGAACGCAGCAAAACGCGAUAUGUAAUGUGAAUUGCAGAAUUCAGUGAAUCAUCGAAUCUUUGAACGCACAUGGCGCCUUCCAGUAUCCUGGGAGGCAUGCCUGUCCGAGCGUCGUUUCAACCCUCGAGCCCCUGUGGCCCGGCGUUGGGGAUCUGCCACGGCAGGCCCCUAAAACCAGUGGCGGACCCGAUGGGCCCUCUCCUUUACGUAGUAGCAUUCGCCUCGUAUUGGGAGUCCUCGGCGUCCUACCUCUAAACCCCCCACAAGCCCGCUCCGGCGGCACCAAGGUUGACCUCGGAUCAGGUAGGAAUACCCGCUGAACUUAAGCAUAUCAAUAAGCGGAGGAAAAGAAACCAACAGGGAUUGCCCCACUAAC
rnacentral:rRNA from 1 species